CCUACGGGUGGCAGCAGUGGGGAAUAUUGGGCAAUGGGCGGGAGCCUGAACCAGCCACGUCGCGUGAAGGAAGAAGGUCCUUCGUAUUUUAAACUUCUUUUGUCGGGGAACAAAGUCGGAGACGCGUCUCCCUCUGAGUGUACCCGACAAGCAAGCAUCGGCAAACUCCGUGCCAGCAGCCGCGGUAAUGCGGAGGAUGCGAGCGUUAUCCGGAUUUGGGGGGUUUGAAGGGUGCGCAGGCGGGAGAUAAAGUCAGCGGUAAAAUGUCGGGGCGCAACCCCGACCGGCCGUUGAAACUGGCGGUCUAGAGUGGGAGAGAGGAAGGCGGAAUUCGUGGUGUAGCGGUGAAAUGCAUAGAUAUCACGAAGAACGCCGAUGGCGAAGGCA
rnacentral:rRNA from 1 species